UACGGAGGGGGCUAGCGUUGUUCGGAAUUACUGGGCGUAAGGCGCACGUAGGCGGCUUUGUAAGUUAGAGGUGAAAGCCCGGGGCUCAACUCCGGAAUUGCCUUUAAGACCGCAUCGCUAGAAUUGUGGAGAGGUAAGUGGAAUUCCGAGUGUAGAGGUGAAAUUCGUAGAUAUUCGGAAGAACACCAGUGGCGAAGGCGGCUUACUGGACACAUAUUGACGCUGAGGUGCGAAAGCGUGGGGAGCAAACAGG
rnacentral:rRNA from 1 species